ensembl:snRNA U6 U6 spliceosomal RNA
GUGCUUGCUAUGGCAGCACAUAUAUUAAAACUGGAACAAUACAGAGAAGAUUAGCAUGGCCCCUGUGCAAGGAUGACACGCAAAAUCAUGAAACAUUACCAUAUUUU